GGAAGGGCCUAGCUCAAUGGAAGAACAUCUGUUUUGUUUGCAGAAAGCCACAGGUUCAAACCCUGGCCUCUCCA